GCAAGUCGAGCGGUAAGGCCCUUCGGGGUACACGAGCGGCGAACGGGUGAGUAACACGUGGGUGAUCUGCCUCGUAAUCUGGGAUAAGCCUGGGCAACUGGGUCUAAUACCGGAUAUGACCACGCACUGCACGGCGUGUGGUGGAAGGAUUAUUCGGUGCGAGAUGGGCCCGCGGCCUAUCAGCUUGUUGGUGGGGUAACGGCCUACCAAGGCGACGACGGGUAGCCGACCUGAGAGGGUGAUC
rnacentral:rRNA from 1 species